CAUUGAGGUUAUGAAACACAUGACCUACCGCCAUAGCUUUGUUUGAAAAAAGCGCCAAGUUUCAAAAAGUAUUUCGGGAUUUUCGUCACAUACAUACAUGUAUACGGAAGAGCAGCAAGAUGUAAAAAAAGAAAUGUAUCGCCGCAGAACCUCAUCAUGGUGAAAAUUGGUGCAAAAUUUCCAAAAAUAUAGCAAAUUGGUGUUUGAGUAUAGAUCAAAUCUUAAAUGCAAAAGAAUUACCCAUUCCUAUAUAAAAAUUAUUGUGACAAAUCAGAGCUUAACUAUCAUAUGUAACUAUCAUAAACUUAGCUAUAUGUAAGUUUGUGAAUAAAUCUGAAUAAACUUCACUGGAUUCUAUAUU